rnacentral:rRNA from 1 species
UACGGAGGGGGCCAGCGUUGCUCGGAAUUAUUGGGCGUAAAGGGCGCGUAGGCGGCUUGGUAAGUUUGAUGUGAAAUCCCAUGGCUCAACCAUGGAACUGCAUCUCAUACUGCCGAGCUAGAGUCUGGGAGAGGGAAGCGGAAUUCCCAGUGUAGCGGUGAAAUGCGUAGAUAUCAGGAGGAACACCGGUGGCGAAGGCGGCAUCCUGGACCGACAUUGACGCUGAGGAGCGAAAGCCAGGGGAGCAAACGGG